rnacentral:rRNA from 1 species
UUCGCCCUUAGAGUUUGAUCCUGGCUCAGGACGAACGCUGGCGGCACGCCUAACACAUGCAAGUCGAACGGACUUAAAAGAGCUUGCUUUUUUAAGUUAGUGGCGGACGGGUGAGUAACACGUGAGCAACCUGCCUCUGACAGGGGGAUAGCUUCUGGAAACGGAUGGUAAUACCCCAUAAAAAUAUAAAUAUCGCACGAUAGAUAUAUCAAAGAAAUUCGCUCAGAGAUGGGCUCGCGUCUGAUUAGAUAGUUGGUGAGGUAACGGCUCACCAAGUCGACGAUCAGUAGCCGGACUGAGAGGUUGAACGGCCACAUUGGGACUGAGACACGGCCCAGAUUCCUACGGGAGGCAGCAGUGGGGAAUAUUGCACAAUGGAGGGAACUCUGAUGCAGCGAUGCCGCGUGGAGGAAGAAGGUUUUCGGAUUGUAAACUCCUUUUAUCAGGGACGAUAAUGACGGUACCUGAAGAAAAAGCUCCGGCUAACUACGUGCCAGCAGCCGCGGUAAUACGUAGGGAGCGAGCGUUGUCCGGAAUUACUGGGUGUAAAGGGAGCGUAGGCGGGAUAGCAAGUCAGAUGUGAAAACUAUGGGCUCAACCUGUAGAUUGCAUUUGAAACUGUUGUUCUUGAGUGAAGUAGAGGUAAGCGGAAUUCCUAGUGUAGCGGUGAAAUGCGUAGAGAUUGGGAGGAACACCAGUGGCGAAGGCGACUUACUGGGCCGUAACUGACGCUGAGGCGCGAAAGCGUGGGGAGCGAACAGGAUUAGAUACCCUGGUAGUCCACGCUGUAAACGAUGAAUGUUAGGUGUGGCGGGUAUCGGCCCCUGCUGUGCCGGAGUAAACGCAAUAAGCAUUCCGCCUGGGGGAGUACGUCGGCAAGGUUGAACUCAAAGGAAUUGACGGGGGCCCGCACAAGCAGCGGAGCAUGUUGUUUAAUUCGAUGCAACGCGAAGAACCUUACCAGGUCUUGACAUCGAGGUAAAGCUACAGAGAUGUAGUGUGGAUUCGUCCAACCGAAGACAGGUGGUGCAUGGUUGUCGUCAGCUCGUGUCGUGAGAUGUUGGGUUAAGUCCCGCAACGAGCGCAACCCUUAUGAUCAGUUACUAACAGGUGAAGCUGAGGACUCUGAUGAGACUGCCGGGGACAACUCGGAGGAAGGUGGGGACGACGUCAAAUCAUCAUGCCCCUUAUGACCUGGGCUACAAACGUGCUACAAUGGCGGCCACAAAGAGGGGCGAGACUGUGAAGUUAAGCGGAUCUCAAAAAAGCCGUCCCAGUUCGGAAUGUGGGCUGCAACCCGCCCACAUGAAGUUGGAGUUGCUAGUAAUCGCGGAUCAGCAUGCCGCGGUGAAUAAAAUGGCCGGGCCUUGCACUCACCGCCCGUCA